GACGAACGCUGGCGGCGUGCCUAAUACAUGCAAGUCGAGCGCAGGAAGCUGACGGAACUCUUCGGAGGGAAGGCAGUGGAAUGAGCGGCGGACGGGUGAGUAACACGUAAGGAACCUGCCUCAAGGAUUGGGAUAACUCCGAGAAAUCGGAGCUAAUACCGGAUAGUUCAUCGGACCGCAUGGCCCGUUGAUGAAAGGCGCUUCGGCGUCACCGUGAGCUGGCCUUGCGGUGCAUUAGCUAGUUGGUGGGGUAACGGCCCACCAAGGCGACGAUGCAUAGCCGACCUGAGAGGGUGAUCGGCCACACUGGGACUGAGACACGGCCCAGACUCCUACGGGAGGCAGCAGUAGGGAAUCUUCCACAAUGGACGAAAGUCUGAUGGAGCAACGCCGCGUGAGUGAUGAAGGUUUUCGGAUCGUAAAACUCUGUUGUAAGGGAAGAACACGUACGAGAGGGAAUGCUCGUACCUUGACGGUACCUUACGAGAAAGCCACGGCUAACUACGUGCCAGCAGCCGCCGUAA
rnacentral:rRNA from 1 species